UACGAAGGGGGCUAGCGUUGUUCGGAAUCACUGGGCGUAAAGCGUAUGUAGGCGGGCUUUUAAGUCAGGUGUGAAAUCCCAUGGCUCAACCAUGGAAUUGCAUUUGAAACUGGAAGUCUUGAGUGUGGGAGAGAUUGGUAGAAUACCUGGUGUAGUGGUGAAAUACGUAGAUAUCAGGUGGAAUACCGGUGGCGAAGGCGGCCAAUUGGCCCAACACUGACGCUGAGAUACGAAAGCGUGGGGAUCAAACAGG
rnacentral:rRNA from 1 species